rnacentral:rRNA from 1 species
CGGGGGGGCGUGCUAAUAAUGCAAGUCGAGCGCGGGAAGCGAGUGGAUCCCUUCGGGGUGAAGCUCGUGGAACGAGCGGCGGACGGGUGAGUAACACGUGGGCAACCUGCCUGUAAGAUCGGAAUAACCCCGGGAAACCGGGGCUAAUGCCGGGUAAUACUUUCUUUCGCAUGAAGGAAAGUUGAAAGAUGGCUUCUUGCUAUCACUUACAGAUGGGCCCGCGGCGCAUUAGCUAGUUGGUGAGGUAACGGCUCACCAAGGCGACGAUGCGUAGCCGACCUGAGAGGGUGAUCGGCCACACUGGGACUGAGACACGGCCCAGACUCCUACGGGAGGCAGCAGUAGGGAAUCUUCCGCAAUGGACGAAAGUCUGACGGAGCAACGCCGCGUGAACGAUGAAGGUCUUCGGAUCGUAAAGUUCUGUUGUUAGGGAAGAACAAGUACCGUGCGAAUAGAGCGGUACCUUGACGGUACCUAACGAGGAAGCCCCGGCUAACUACGUGCCAGCAGCCGCGGUAAUACGUAGGGGGCAAGCGUUGUCCGGAAUUAUUGGGCGUAAAGCGCGCGCAGGCGGUUCCUUAAGUCUGAUGUGAAAGCCCACGGCUCAACCGUGGAGGGUCAUUGGAAACUGGGGAACUUGAGGACAGAAGAGGAGAGUGGAAUUCCACGUGUAGCGGUGAAAUGCGUAGAUAUGUGGAGGAACACCAGUGGCGAAGGCGACUCUCUGGUCUGUUUCUGACGCUGAGGUGCGAAAGCGUGGGUAGCAAACAGGAUUAGAUACCCUGGUAGUCCACGCCGUAAACGAUGAGUGCUAGGUGUUAGGGGGCUUCCACCCCUUAGUGCUGAAGUUAACGCAUUAAGCACUCCGCCUGGGGAGUACGGCCGCAAGGCUGAAACUCA